rnacentral:rRNA from 1 species
CCUACGGGCGGCAGCAGUGAGGAAUAUUGGUCAAUGGUCGGAAGACUGAACCAGCCAAGUAGCGUGCAGGAUGACGGCCCUACGGGUUGUAAACUGCUUUUAUACGGGGAUAAAGUGCCUUACGUGUAGUGCUUUGCAUGUACCGCAUGAAUAAGGACCGGCUAAUUCCGUGCCAGCAGCCGCGGUAAUACGGAAGGUCCGGGCGUUAUCCGGAUUUAUUGGGUUUAAAGGGAGCGUAGGCCGCAUGUCAAGCGUGCUGUGAAAUGCCCGGGCUCAACCCGGGCCGUGCAGCGCGAACUGGCGUGCUUGAGUCCGCGGAAAGCAGGCGGAAUUCGUCGGGUAGGGGGGAAAUGCUUAGAUAUGACGAAGAACCCCGAUUGCGAAGGCAGCUUGCUGCAGCGGCACUGACGCUGAUGCUCGAAGGCGCGGGUAUCGAACAGGAUUAGAUACCCGAGUAGUC